GACGAACGCUGGCGGCGUGCUUAACACAUGCAAGUCGAACGGAAAGGCCCUGCUUUUGUGGGGUGCUCGAGUGGCGAACGGGUGAGUAACACGUGAGUAACCUGCCCUUGACUUUGGGAUAACUCCAGGAAACUGGGGCUCAUACCGGAUAGGAGCUCCUGCUGCAUGGUGGGGGUUGGAAAGUUUCGGCGGUUGGGGAUGGUCUCGCUGCUUAUCAGCUGGUUGGUGAGGUAGUGGCUUACCAAGGCUUUGACGGGUAGCCGGCCUGAGAGGGUGACCGGCCACAUUGGGACUGAGAUACGGCCCAGACUGCUACGGGAGGCAGCAGUGGAGAAUAUUGCGCAAUGGGCGGAAGCCUGAUACAGCAACGCCGCGUGCGGGAUGACGGCCUUCGGGUUGUAAACCGCUUUCGCCUGUGACGAAGCGUGAGUGACGGUAAUGGGUAAAGAAGCACCGGCUAACUACGUG
rnacentral:rRNA from 1 species